rnacentral:rRNA from 1 species
AUUGAACGCUGGCGGCAGGCUUAACACAUGCAAGUCGAGCGGGGGAAGGUAGCUUGCUACUGGACCUAGCGGCGGACGGGUGAGUAAUGCUUAGGAAUCUGCCUAUUAGUGGGGGACAACAUCUCGAAAGGGAUGCUAAUACCGCAUACGUCCUACGGGAGAAAGCAGGGGAUCUUCGGACCUUGCGCUAAUAGAUGAGCCUAAGUCGGAUUAGCUAGUUGGUGGGGUAAAGGCCUACCAAGGCGACGAUCUGUAGCGGGUCUGAGAGGAUGAUCCGCCACAGUGGGACUGAGACACGGCCCAGACUCCUACGGGAGGCAGCAGUGGGGAAUAUUGGACAAUGGGGGGAACCCUGAUCCAGCCAUGCCGCGUGUGUGAAGAAGGCCUUAUGGUUGUAAAGCACUUUAAGCGAGGAGGAGGCUGCUCUAGUUAAUACCUAGGGAUAGUGGACGUUACUCGCAGAAUAAGCACCGGCUAACUCUGUGCCAGCAGCCGCAGUAA